rnacentral:tRNA from 1 species
GCCUCUAUAGCUCAGUGGUAGAGCGCUUGACGUGAGUGAAGCCGUAUAUUAUCCCUCGUAAACCAUUAACUAACAAGCCAAAAGUUGUAUAUGAUAUCAAGAGGUCCGUGGUUCAAUCCCGCGUGGAGGCA